rnacentral:rRNA from 1 species
AACGCGAAGAACCUUACCAAGGCUUGACAUCCUGCGAAUCCGCUAGAAAUAGUGGAGUGCCUUCGGGAGCGCAGUGACAGGUGUUGCAUGGCCGUCGUCAGCUCGUGUCGUGAGAUGUUGGGUUAAGUCCCGCAACGAGCGCAACCCUUAUCGUAUGUUGAAUUUUUCAUACGAGACCGCCCGGGCCAACCGGGAGGAAGGUGGGGAUGACGUCAGGUCAGCAUGGCCCUUACGCCUUGGGCUACACACGUCAUACAAUGGCCGGUACAACGCGUUGCCAAAUCGCAAGAUGGAGCUAAUCGUACCAAAACCGGUCUCAGUUCGGAUUGCAGGCUGCAACUCGCCUGCAUGAAGUUGGAUUUGCUAGUAAACGUGGGUCAGCAUACCACGUUGAAUACGUUCCCGGGCCUUGUACACACCGUGUCGA